rnacentral:lncRNA from 1 species
CCAAAUAGUGUCCUCUUCUCGUCACAAUGGGAUUCAAUGAGUUCUAGCUGCUGUUGCGAGGGUUCUUGCAGCAAAUCGUCCGUUGCUAUACUGGUUGCUUGGCUCUAUUUUACCUCGCAGCGGUCGUGAAGUAAGGAGGACGCCGGCAAUUCUAGUUCUAUUUCACCGCAGAAGCCCUCGCUCAGUCUUAACUAGCUGUCUUUGCUGGACAGAGAGAGGCCCAUACAGAAAGAGGGAGAGAAAGAAAGUGGCAGAGGGAGACAGAAGUGGGAAGAGCGUGAAAGACGGAGAGAUGAAAACUGAGAUCACUGAAAUUCCACGUGAUGUGGAAGUUGGUCGAACCAGAUCAGAAUGCCUUUGAGGACCACGUUCAGUCACGGGCUGAAAAGGAUGUGUAGGUUUUUGAACAGGUGAGACGGAACAUCAACAAGGCGCAGGAUAAGCAGAAGGAGAGCUACCGGAGGAGAAUCAAGAAGGGGACCAAGUGCUUCAACAUCCGGGCGAAUGACUUGGUUUGGAAGAAGGACGAAAGGAAGGCGAGACCCGGGAAAACUCGUUGCUCUUUCGCGCCUAGCUGGGGUCAUCAUCUGUUAAGAUGAAUAUCAAAUUCUGCAUCUAUUGAUGUCUGAUUGCCCACUCAUCCCAUCCAUCUCAUUACAUAAUCUAAAGAUACUGUUAUUGUCAUGUUGCCAUUAACUGCUAGUAAUGUUUGCUAGCCGUAUCAUACUGGGCACAUAAUAUGUGAGAUACACA